rnacentral:rRNA from 1 species
CGCGGCCUAUCAGCUUGUUGGUGAGGUAACGGCUCACCAAGGCGACGACGGGUAGCCGGCCUGAGAGGGUGACCGGCCACACUGGGGCUGAGACACGGCCCAGACUCCUACGGGAGGCAGCAGUGGGGAAUAUUGCACAAUGGGCGAAAGCCUGAUGCAGCGACGCCGCGUGAGGGAUGACGGCCUUCGGGUUGUAAACCUCUUUCAGCAGGGAAGAAGCGAAAGUGACGGUACCUGCAGAAGAAGCGCCGGCUAACUACGUGCCAGCAGCCGCGGUAAUACGUAGGGCGCAAGCGUUGUCCGGAAUUAUUGGGCGUAAAGAGCUCGUAGGCGGCUUGUCACGUCGGAUGUGAAAGCCCGAGGCUUAACCUCGGGUCUGUAUUCGAUACGGGCUAGCUAGAGUGUGGUAGGGGAGAUCGGAAUUCCUGGUGUAGCGGUGGAAUGCGCAGAUAUCAGGAGGAACACCAAUGGCGAAGGCAGGACUCUGGGCCAUUACUGACACUGAGGAGCGGAAGCGUGGGGAGCGAACAGGAUUAGAUACCCUGGUAGUCCACGCCGUAAACGUUGGGAGCUAGGUGUUGGCGACAUUCCACGUCGUCGGUGCCGCAGCUAACGCAUUAAGUUCCCCGCCUGGGGAGUACGG